AACCAACAGGGAUUGCCUCAGUAACGGCGAGUGAAGCGGCAAAAGCUCAAAUUUUAAAGCUGACAUCUUCGGUGUCCGCGUUGUAAUUUUGUGAGGCAUCUCCGGGCAGGGCGCCGGCCUAAGUUCCUUGGAACAGGACGUCACAGAGGGUGAGAAUCCCGUGCUUGGCUGGCUGUCCCCGUCCAUGUGAGGUGUCUUCGACGAGUCGAGUUGUUUGGGAAUGCAGCUCAAAAUGGGUGGUAAAUUUCAUCUAAAGCUAAAUAUUGGUGGGAGACCGAUAGCGCACAAGUAGAGUGAUCGAAAGAUGAAAAGCACUUUGAAAAUAGAGUUAAAAAGUACGUGAAAUUGUUGAAAGGGAAGCGCUUGAGACCAGACUUCGGUAAGGGGUGAUCAGCCGUCCUUCUGGGCGGUGCACUUGCCCCCCUCCGGGCCAGCAUCGGUUGAGGCGGCGGGAUAAAGGUCCCGGGAAUGUGGCUCCUUCACGGGAGUGUUAUAGCCCGGGUGAAUGCCGCCAGCUUCGACCGAGGACCGCACCCGCAAGGGUUAGGAUGCUUGGCAUAAUGGUCUUCAGCGA
rnacentral:rRNA from 1 species